GGGUGCAAUCAUACCAGCACUAAUGCACCGGAUCCCAUCAGAACUCCGCAGUUAAGCGUGCUUGGGCGAGAGUAGUACUAGGUUGGGUGACCUCCUAGGAAGUUCUCGUGUUGCACCCG
rfam:Gossypium hirsutum cultivar TM-1 chromosome 13, whole genome shotgun sequence